UAUUGCUGAUUUACAAAAAGUCUUGGAAGAAUGGGAAAGUUCCAAAGGACUGGAAGAAAGCUUAUGUGCCAAUAUUUUAAAAGGAUAACAAGACAACCGAAGUAAUUCCACUCUGUCUGACAUCGAUCCCAGAUUGGUCCACUUUGUGUCCAGGAUUUGAUACACCACACAAUGCAACUGAGUGCUGCUGAAUAUGGCAUUUUAAAUUGGUUCAUAACUAUAGCAUAGUUCUUCCAGGAUUGGCACACCAUUAUGCACUACAUCUUUUCCCCCUGAGUGCUACAAGAUGUUUCAUUGAUCUUUAAAGGAUGUAAUGCUACAAAGACACACUGAAAGCAUAUAUCAAGACAACUGAUGAGGACAUCACAAGCUGGGAAGAGCAAGUCACCAAAUGACCUCAGUGGCGCCACAUCCUCCAUCAGGCAGUGGUUCACUUCAGGGAGAAGUGCCUUGCCCUCGAAGCUGAAAAGAGAUAGAGAGACGGA